GCACAACGCGAAGAACCUUACCUAGGCUUGACAUACACGAGAACACCCUGGAAACAGGGGACUCUUUGGACACUCGUGAACAGGUGGUGCAUGGUUGUCGUCAGCUCGUGUCGUGAGAUGUUGGGUUAAGUCCCGCAACGAGCGCAACCCUCGUUCUAUGUUGCCAGCACGUAAUGGUGGGAACUCAUGGGAUACUGCCGGGGUCAACUCGGAGGAAGGUGGGGAUGACGUCAAAUCAUCAUGCCCCUUAUGUCUUGGGCUUCACGCAUGCUACAAUGGCCGGUACAAAGGGCUGCAAUACCGUGAGGUGGAGCGAAUCCCAAAAAGCCGGUCCCAGUUCGGAUUGAGGUCUGCAACUCGACCUCAUGAAGUCGGAGUCGCUAGUAAUCGCAGAUCAGCAACGCUGCGGUGAAUACGUUCCCGGGUCUUGUACACACCG
rnacentral:rRNA from 1 species